AGCUUCAGUAGCGUAUAUUAAAGUUGUUGCAGUUAAAAAGCUCGUAGUCGCAUUUCUGGCGAGAGGAUCCGGUCCGACCUUUUGGUGGGUUCUUGGGUCUCUUUCGCCAUCCUUGAGUGGUCCGUUCUGGCAUUAGGUUGUCGGAGCGUCAGCCGCUCAUCGUUUACUGUGAGAAAAUUAGAGUGUUCAAAGCAGGCUUAUGCCGUUGAAUAUAUUAGCAUGGAAUAAUAAGAUAGGACCUCGGUACUAUUUGGUUGGUUUGCGCACCAAGGUAAUGAUGAACAGGGACAGUUGGGGGUAUUUGUAUUUCGUGGUCAGAGGUGAAAUUCUUAGAUUUACGAAAGACAAACUACUGCGAAAGCAUUUACCAAGGAUGUUUUCA
rnacentral:rRNA from 1 species